rnacentral:rRNA from 1 species
CCCGGUGUUGUAUUAACGGCUGCAGAGCUUAGUCUGUACUAAGGUAGCGUAAUCAUUAGCCUUUUAAUUUGAGGCGAGUAUGAAUGGGUUGACGUAUAAGUUUCUGUCUUUUCUAAAUAAAUUUAAUUUUAUUUUUAGGUGAAAAAGCCUAGUAUUUUUUUAAGGGACGAGAAGACCCUAUGAAGCUUUACUGUUAACUAAAGUUAAUCUAUGAUUAGUUUUUAGUUAGUGAUGGUUUAGCUGGGAGAGCAUAAUAUACAAAGUAUUUGAAUGUUUUUGAUCCAUUAAUUAAUGAAAAAAGAGAGCUACUCUAGGGAUAACAGCGUAAUUUACUCGGUGAGUUGGAAUCUAUGAGUGA